rnacentral:pre_miRNA from 1 species
GUUAGAGGCUGGGUCUUUGCGGGCAAGGUGAGUCCUACAUUUGUUCAACUGGCCUACAAAGUCCCAGUUUCUGGC